AGCGAACGCUGGCGACGUGCUUAACACAUGCAAGUCGAGUGCGCGGUUCGUAGCAAUACGAACUGGCGCACGGCGCACGGGUGAGGAACACGUGGGCAACAUGCCCUCCGAUGGGGAAUAACCCGCCGAAAGGCGGGCUAAUACCGCAUACGAUUCCGGGGACCUCGGUUCCUGGACUGAAAGCCCGCAAGGGCGUCGGUGGAGUGGCCCGCGGCCGAUUAGCUUGUUGGCGGGGUAACGGCCCACCAAGG
rnacentral:rRNA from 1 species